rnacentral:sRNA from 1 species
UCAAUGACAUUGUCUUGUAAAUAAGUCUCUACUUCAGGAUUUAUUUUACUAAAUGGCUGCAAAAAUGUAUAUGUAGAUAUAUA